UGUGUUCCAGAGGGUGAUGGGAGUCAAAGAGGAGGUACUGGUCCAUGUGUAGCAAUGGGUUUUAUGUACACUACCAGGCAAAGGUUUGAACUCAAUCAUUUAAUGGUUUUUCUUUAUGUAAUAAACAAAAACCUGUGAAAUCACGUUUUAUAACAUGCUCUGAUUACAGCUUUGCACACUCUUGGUAUUCUCUCCAUAUAUGAGCAUAGACAUGAUCAUUUAUUUCCAGUAUUGUUCUUAUUAUAGUUGAUUAGAUUAGACAUGUGACAGCUGAUGAUUAGCUGGCUAAACAUAAGUAAUUGCAAGCUAACAUUAUGCUAGCUAACGUUAGCCUCUAAACGUCACAGUUUCCUGCUGAUAAACUGUCUGACAUCAUUCUCACAUUGUAUCAGAGUUUGUUCACUAAGAGUCACAGUCUAACAACCGUCUGUUUCACUAACACUGGCUAACAACAGCUAACAGCGCCUACCUAGCAGCAGCUAACAGAGGCUAAUAGCCGCUAACAGCAGUGCUUAGCAACAGUAAAGUUCAGGAUCUCCUCAACAACUCAGCUCAGUAUCACCGUCAUCGGUCAGCAGUGAGCCUCUGACUCCUCUCAGGCUCCUUUCACACCACUGAGGUAAACAGCGGACCGACAGCCGACACUCAGUACAGAUGACAGUGUUUCCUUCUGGUUAAACAUGUAGUUCAUUAAAGGCAAAGCAAAGGUCCUUGGGUCAGAGAUGACCCGGGACGCUGCAUGUAGCCCUGCAGCAGGACAGGACUCAAACCAGCGCCCAUAAACCUGAAUUUGUAGUAUUAAGUUUAUUAAUUAGUGUAGUUUUAUAUAUAACACAUGCAAAAUAUUUAGUGGAUUCAUCUUUUUUUUUUUUUUUAAUUAGGAUUUGGAUGUAUUUGCAUUUUUUAAUGGUAUAACUGUGAUAUAAAGUUUUGACUUUAUUUAUAUCACAGAACAACAGAGAGAUGAAGUGUGAAGGAAAAGUUUCCUUCUGUUGUGCAAUAUUAAAUUAUUUUUAACUCAUCCUUGCAGAAAGGAAGAUAACGAGAGGUUCCUGAUAACAUCGACUCAGCUGAGCGACGCUCAACAACACAAACACCUUCCCACAUCAGUGACACAACACAACAGCUGAGUCAUUCAAACCCUGACGUGAUGGUGUUUAAAGAGAAGUGAAACCUGCAGCAGAUCUUUGUGGAGCUGGCAGCUGUUGAGUUUGGAGCAGAUGUUUGGGAGCUUCGGGGAGAGCCAGCAGACUCAAACACUGAUUUAUUGCACUAAAACACUUGAAGGUGAUUUCAGUCACACUGCAACACCCGUCUGAGGGACACUUCUGGUUUGCCUCCUGCUGUGAGACCUGAGGCCGGCUCGCUUCCGCACAUUUGUUCUUCAGUCUCUGUGCGGACUGAAGCCCUCAUCGUUCAUACGCAAACAGAUUUAAUAAAGACAAA